CGCCCGGGGACACGCCGCAGGCGCCUGCUCGGCACCCCCAGGGCUCGCCUGGCCAGGUGCCCUCUCGGGGGGCCAGACACCCGCACGCUGCUGCGAUGGUUGGGUUGCGAAGCCUGCAGGGAAGUCGAGCCCCCCCGUGGACAUGCAAGUAUUUCUCCGGAUGCUCCCGGCUAUCCUGAAAUAUCCUUGGGAGAUCUUACUGUAUUGAGUACAUGUACCAUGGGCGGCUGGAGACACUGCACAACCAGCAUCUGGAUAAACUGUGAAAUGCUAAAAACUGGUCAUGGACUGAAUCCUGAUUAACGGAAGUGUUUAAUUUGCAGCACAGCCUGAGAGAAUUGUGAAGGAUCCUAUGUAAAAGAGAACAUGGCACAAUACCAUGUUUUUCAUUAAUAUUAAUUUGGACGAUGAGCUUUUCCUCGCCAGCCAAUUCUGAAUUCUAACAAAUGAACAAGAUCCAGUGUCUUGAAAGCGCAUGUUUCUGGAUGACCAGAAGAGCAAGUUCCAGUCCCAAUUUUUUUCCCAGUGCAAAGUAUAAUAUAAUGCAGCGUCCAUGGACAUAGUGUCCUUCCAAGUGCCUCAGGGUAUGUUGUAAACUCCACAUACUUGUAUCAUGUCUUUCAUCUUCCAGUGGGUUUACAAAGAUUAAAGCAAAACAGUCAAUUUUUAAAAAAUGUGAGUAAAAGUAGUUUCUGGUCUCAUCCCUCCCAAUGUGUGUGGCUUUGACAUAUCUUUUCCUCCCUCCCCCGUUGCAUCAUGUUUUUCUGUCCCCAGCUGCUCUGUGUAAACCCCACACAAAUAAAAGAAUCUGACAAAGGCCCCAAUUCUGCACUUGGAUCCCCACCAGGCUUGUGCAGAACCCUACUCAUUUCAGCAGGACUUCUCCCCUGUUCGAGAAUGUAUGUCCUGUUCACCCGAGGCUCCUACCUAAUCAGUGGAAGUCAGGGCUUCCCUUGCCACCUACUCCUUCAAGGGACUGGGCUGAGCCAGGCAAAGAGGAGGAAGGAAAGGCUGUCUGAUUUUUGAUCUCCUGGCCCUUGCUGCUAAGCUUUGUUUUCAGCUGGCCUCAGGGUGCCUAGGCAGCCAAAUGGGCCCUGCAGUGUUGCCCAGGAUAGAAGGAGAUGAGAACACACUGCAGCUGGAACUUGGAUCCUGAUUUCUGCCCACCCCAUCUACCAGAGCUCAGAUAGUGAUUUCUUUCCCUCCCCUGACCUGCACACAGAAUGCACACCCUAAAUCUCCUCCUGAUCUGCACCGAGAAUUCAUAUCCCAAUUCCCCUUCGGCUUGCACCCAGAACUUGGAUUUUGAUUCCUCCCAACUGGCUUGCAGAUUCUCCCCUGAAACGUACAUGCAGAACCUAGAUCCAAAUUACCUCCUACCUCAUGACUUGCACAGAACCCAGACCCUUAUCCCCACUCAGAAUUUGGAUAUCAUCUCUCCCCCCUCCUCUCUCUAAUGCACCCAGAAUUUGGGAAAGAGUAGGGUUGAGUGCGACAGCAUCAGAUCAUGCAGCUGUACAUAUUAGGGACUGGGAUAUCA